GAUAAACGCUAGCGGCAGGCCUAACACAUGCAAGUCGAGGGGCAGCACAAGAGGUAGUAAUACUUCUGGUGGCGACCGGCGCACGGGUGCGUAACGCGUAUGCAACCUACCCUUAACAGGGGGAUAGUCGGGAGAAAUUCGGCGUAAUACCCCAUAUCACUUUUAUUGGCAUCGAUAAUAGUUGAACUUUUCGGAGGUUAAGGAUGGGCAUGCGUGACAUUAGCUAGUUGGUGAGGUAACGGCUCACCAAGGCAACGAUGUCUAGGGGGACUGAGAGGUUUUCCCCCCACACUGGUACUGAGACACGGACCAGACUCCUACGGGAGGCAGCAGUGAGGAAUAUUGGUCAAUGGACGGAAGUCUGAACCAGCCAUGCCGCGUGCAGGAUGACGGCUCUAUGAGUUGUAAACUGCUUUUGUACGAGGGUAAACUUGGAUACGUGUAUCCAACUGAAAGUAUCGUACGAAUAAGGAUCGGCUAACUCCGUGCCAGCCGCCGCGGUAA
rnacentral:rRNA from 1 species